GUGCCAGCAGCCGCGGUAAUACGGAGGGUCCGAGCGUUAAUCGGAAUUACUGGGCGUAAAGCGUGCGCAGGCGGUCUGUUAAGUCAGAUGUGAAAGCCCCGGGCUCAACCUGGGAAUCGCAUUUGAAACUGGCAGACUCGAGUUUUGUAGAGGGGGGUAGAAUUUCAGGUGUAGCGGUGAAAUGCGUAGAGAUCUGAAGGAAUACCAGUGGCGAAGGCGGCCCCCUGGACAAAGACUGACGCUCAUGCACGAAAGCGUGGGGAGCAAACAGGAUUAGAUACCCCUGUAGUCCC
rnacentral:rRNA from 1 species